AUAAUCUAUUUCUCAGUCAUUUAUUGAUGGAUUUUCAAAAUGUUUUCACUGAUUUAUCAACUUUGCUCUAUAUUUUAAUUCUAUCAUGUCAAAUAUAGUAUUAUCAACAUCACCAAACUAGUCCAUUGGUGAAUGAAUAAACAAGUGUUCAAAAGCUCCUGAGUUCACAUUAUUGCAUUCCUCAUUUUAUAGAACAUUAGAUUUGCGGCUGAUUUCGACUGAUUGAUUUCGAUAUCUCACAUUUUGAAAGACAAUUAUCGGUUUCUGGGUCAUUCUUUACAAUUUUUGAUGUUAUUAGUCUACAAAAUCUAUGUUUCGGUUUCUCUGGGAAAUAUUGAAAGGAUAGUUUCCCUCUUUGUGUAUGUUGUCUUUAUUAAGUAGGAACCCACAAACCGAGAUUGUUGCAAUUCGAAUCAGAAACGGAUAUUUCGUAACUGCUGCAAUUUUGUGAAGAAAUUAUCUCGAGUUUUAUGCAACAGAAGGAAGAAUUUCUUAAUUUCUCAAUAUAACUUUGUUCAUUCCAUUCUGUCUGCAUUUAGUUCAAUAAUAAUUCAAGAUGAAUGCCAGACAAGCGGUUUUGAUUGCUGUGAUUUUGACAUGUUUUGGGGUUUCCAUGGCAUAUACACAACAUGUGUACAAACCCAAACCUGAAUUCAAAUUGAUGACGGAUACUAUGAAUAUUAUUAAAGAGGUCCUUCGAAUUUUCUGCAAAAAUGGCUAUCCGAGUCUUAAGCCAUAUUUGAAAUUAUUGGACCUAGAUGGGUUUGGGGAUAACAUCUGUGCAGAAGCAAUGGAAAAUCUAAAAAUCAAUAUAAGUGUAUGAAAUGGGAACUCGCAGUUAUUUUUUUGGAAUAAAAUUUUUGAAUCUUCAUGACUUCACGAAUGAUAUUAAUAUUUUGUUUUGUAAGAAUUUGGUUCACCUUAUAAAUUUUGAAGUUUA